GGAUGUCUACCGCUGCUCCUCUUCUUCUGCACGGAGGAGCUCGAGAUCUCCGUCGAUGCGCUGCUUGCAGUGGGGCGGUGCGGAGGAGCUCCAGUCUCCACCAGCGCGCGGUAUGUACAUGAACAAGGACGGAGCAGAUUCUGGUCGACGCCCGUCGGCUGGAGUCCACGACAUCGAGCAGGCCACGCCACACCGCGGGAGGAGCAGGCGCCGCGCCGGGAUCUGAUCACUUGUUGGUCGGCGCAGGGUCUGGGGCGAGCGAGCUCCUCUUCCUCCUUCCCUUGCGGACGCCGGCAGACUCCAACGCGGUCGAGCGAGCGGGAGUUGAGGAGGGGCGCUGCGGCACCGGUCGAGCAGAAGUUGGAGCCAAGCAUUGGGGCCGGAGGUAGCCGUCAGCAAGCGACGCUGCUUGGGCGACGUGGUAGAGGAGGCGGGGAACAGCGGCCAGCGUCGAGGUCGGCCACGGCCAGGCCGGUACAAGCUUCCGGCGAGGUAUUGCCGAUAUGGUCAAGGACGGCUCCGCUGCCGCGGCGCUCUACGUGUGGACGCCCGUGCAACAACCAAAUUGUUGUCGCUGGCUCGGGGAGCACGGGUGGAAAAGGCGGUCCGAGAAGCUAGGCGCCACCGCCGAUGCUCUGACCGCGUCCCCUUGAUUCACACCACGCCCAGCCAUUGCAUAUGUGGAUCUGGCAAGUGAAUCAAAAUUGUGGAACUGCAUAUGUGCUGCCAACUUUAGUCACUCCACUCCGAAUUUGAAGCUCUUACUCUCGGCUAGAUGCAGAAACUGAAGACGGCGUUUUGAGAAUGGCUCAGUUCUGUGAUUCAGGGAUUCAUGUACAUCUCAAGAAGAAAACAUUAAGCUAUAACUCUUAUGAAGGCUCGGGUAUGGUGUAACCUGAAUUACUUACGCAUAAUCCUUUUGUGGAAAAAGGACACGCAUUGCAAGGAGGAAGCGCAACGCACCCCAUCAAAACGAAUCUACAGUGCCCCAAUCGUUAAUGAAUGGCUAAGAUGUUUAACUUGCUUAGGUUAAGAGGACAAGCCCAAAGAAGUAAUGUGCCUGUCUAGCGAAUGACGUUGUGCUACCGCGAUCCAUGUUUGGCGUUGUUGGCAUUGCGAUGGAUAUUAACAUAGAAGAUGGGAAGAUUCGGCCCUUGCACGUUCACUAGAAGCUGCUCCUGUGAGAGGUGGAUGGAUGUUAGAGAUGAAGACCAGGACGUGAGGUACGCUCUGAGAGGAGGCCCUGGUAGAACUAGCAGCUCUAAGAUUUCGUUUACCUCAACACUGUGAAUUCUCAGGUUUGAAUCACACAAUCUACAGAGACAUAGAAUCAACUAAGUGAAUGUAAGUGCCAUUGUGACCUGAGUGCUUAGUAUACAUUUCAAUCGGUAAAUAUGCGGUGUGAUGAUCCAAUAAGAAUAUGAGCUGAAUUGGCGUCGUUGCCGUUUGGAAUCCUUGGCGUCGGGUCUCCUAUGGUGCAGCUCCGGAGCUAUAUACUCAUUUAAGACGUUCUCUGGUUACCAAGUGUGUGUUGAGUUCUUGAAUCCAAGAUGUUUAUCAUUUCGUUUAUGUUCAAUGGUGUAAUGAAAUUUGAGACAGAUCAUCCAUAUAUGUACCACAUGCAUCUACUCUCGCCCUGGUAAAUGAUUCCUGUGACAAUCACAUCCGAAUGAUACUGAAAACAACAAAUAGGCAUUCAGGAGUCUGCUAUUAUGCACAUCAAUGUACACAUACAUGUGCCACAUCCACAUGUAACUACACUUUUGCUUGAUACAUGA